ACGAACGCUGGCGGCGUGCUUAGCACAUGCAAGUCGAGCGGAAAGGCCCUUCGGGGUACUCGAGCGGCGAACGGGUGAGUAACACGUGAGUAACCUGCCCUUGGCUCUGGGAUAGCUCCGGGAAACCGGAAUUAAUACCGGAUAUGACCUCGGCCGACAUCGGCUGUGGUGGAAAGAUUUAUCGGCCAGGGAUGGGCUCGCGGCCUAUCAGCUAGUUGGUGGGGUAACGGCCUACCAAGGCGACGACGGUAGCCGGCCUGAGAGGGCGACCGGCCACACUGGGACUGAGACACGGCCCAGACUCCUACGGGAGGCAGCAGUGGGAAUAUUGCGCAAUGGCGAAAGCCUGACGCAGCGACGCCGCGUGGGGAUGAAGGCC
rnacentral:rRNA from 1 species